AUGGCUACCCAAUCGCCGAAGUUACGGUGUCGCCGCCGUAAAUCGAAGUCAUGGAACACUCUUAUCUCUGAUCCUACAUUCAUCAAAAUGCAUUUCAAUCGAUCAUCACUAAAUCCACAAUUCUCACUAGUAGCUGCAAAUAACAAUGAUCACAGUUUUGUAAGCUUCCCUGUUAAAAUAACGCCAUUGCAUCUUUCUGAGGAUGGUGAUACACUAUUAUUAGCAAACGACCAACAAGACAAUGCAAUUCUCUAUAAUCGGAGAAAUAACAGAGCAAAGAAAACUAGAGUUAACAAUAAGAUAUGUUGGUUCUCUAUCAGAGAUUAUGUCCAAAGUUAUUCUAAUUCUUGUGGUUCUAGAAAGUAG